CAGUAGCCGCGGUAAUACAGAGGGUGCAAGCGUUAAUCGGAAUUACUGGGCGUAAAGCGCGCGUAGGUGGUUUGUUAAGUUGGAUGUGAAAUCCCCGGGCUCAACCUGGGAACUGCAUCCAAAACUGGCAAGCUAGAGUAUGGUAGAGGGUAGUGGAAUUUCCUGUGUAGCGGUGAAAUGCGUAGAUAUAGGAAGGAACACCAGUGGCGAAGGCGACCACCUGGACUGAUACUGACACUGAGGUGCGAAAGCGUGGGGAGCAAACAGGAUUAGAUACCCCCGUAGUCCCUGUCUCUUAUAC
rnacentral:rRNA from 1 species